AAAAAGGCCCCUCUCGGGGCCCCAUAUUAGUUAAUUCUCCAUCCAUU
rfam:Paenibacillus pectinilyticus strain KCTC13222 scaffold22, whole genome shotgun sequence.